AAACCUCUCCUUAGACAGAACUUUCUAGACAUUGCCAAUAAUGUUAUCCAAUAAUAUUAUUCAGAUAAUAUGAAUUAUUGCUCCGAUAAUGGAAAAUACUGUGUAAUGACAAUUUAUUGAAACAACAGUAAUAUAAAAUAUCAAUGCAACAAUUAUUGAAUCAAUAAAAUAAAAUACUGAACAGUAAUUACUGUAACAAUUAUUGAGUAGUGCCUUCUUACGUAAGAAUCAAUAAUUGGUGCAAUACCGUGUGCUACUGUUCAACAACG
rnacentral:lncRNA from 1 species